rnacentral:rRNA from 1 species
AUGCGCCGCCGGCCCCCUGUUUUUCAGGUUCUGAAGAAAUGUGGGCAUUUUGAGUGGCUCGAUGACUAUGUUGAAAGGUUGAAAUUGGAGGGAUCAACCGGAACCCAAGAGCUCAAUUUUGGGGGGCGGCUUGCCGUGGAACAAGCCCCCAAUUUGGCAGACAGAGCCGAUCCGAUGAUGCACAGUGCAGAACUGAAGUGUGAAUUGAAGAAAAUUGGCAAGCAACUAAAGCAUCUGAUCGAUUUGAAGCAGCAAGCAAAUACGAUGGCUGGAGCAUUUUAUGGUUGUGUCAUUGCUAUGGGUUUAUUUUACUUGAUGUUCAUCAAUCGCUAG